GCAAAUCACUGGUGUAAGUCCAAGAGUCC
rnacentral:piRNA from 1 species